rnacentral:lncRNA from 1 species
AUUUGACUGUGACUUUCAGCCAUGGCAGGGCUCAGUCACCAACUAUUCAUAAGAGGGUAAGGAGACAGAUGCAGGCAGGGAGCGGGAGGAGGGAAUGGGAAUGAGCUGAGCAGCAGCAUCACAGCUGGAGGGCUGGACAUGGAUGACCAGCUCCUCACUUCCAGGUGUUUCCACAUCAAGCAUCCUGCAGACAGCUAACAAGUUCAUUCUACAAAGUACAGUUCUCACCACUUUAUCCUUCCUCUGCUCGGAAACAGUCAAUGGUUUCCCACUGUCCACAGGGGAUGCUUAACGCAUGUGGGUUAUGCAGCUAGAAAGACAAGGCACAACCUCUUUGGUCUCUGCCUCUUUUCAUGGCACAGACACCAAAAGUUCACUAAGUCUAACCUGGGCUACCACUGUGGAAGAGAUUUCUCCUUUAUCAGAAGGCACUUCAGCAAACUACACUCCUGUACAAGUUCUAAUCCCUCUUAACUUGCUAUUUGUAAAGCUGCUCAGAUUUGAGGCCCUGUGUCCCUGGUCCUGACACCCCCUCACCUCCCUCCACCAACACUGCCACCCUCACACCCUGUGUGCUGUCAUAGUUCCUCAAACUCACCCAGCACUGGCCCUCUCUGGGACCCAACCUGGAAGUUCCCUCUACCUAGGAUGUCCUUCCUUAGACCUCUGCAUGAUUGCCCCCUGGCAUAGGUCUUGACUCAAAUGGUUCCCUAAAAAUGCAGCCCACUAGGAAGCCCCAUCCUUCUCCUCUGCCUGAAUUUUCUCCAUCACCUUCAUCACCACCUGGCACACCUGUCUGCUUUUGCACCAUUUCCCAUAGCUCCAUACAACCCCCAAUAGACCAGAAUCUAAGCUCUGUAUGUAUCUUUCUAUGUUCACUGCUAAAUCCCAAGUGUCUAGACAGUGCCUGGCACAAAGUCAGUGCUAAAUAAAUAUUUGUGGAAGGCCUGAGUGAGUCUGCAUUGUGGUGGUGCAACUUCUCAUAAAAUCUCUUCCCCAAGACUUUCUGCUCUAACCUGGUCUUUGAGUAGGGCCAUAGCCAUGGUCUGCUACAAGGAAGAACACGGUGGACAACAGA